GCAAUCUGUCCUGUUCUACUGUGGGUGGAGAAUAGCACCGUGCUGGGUGGCUGUGUGACACAUGGAGCCACAUGGCUAGGUCUUGCACAACAGAAGAGGAAGCAGGGAAAUACAGCUUAAAUGAGUGUCAGCGGCUGGCAGGAUGGCUCGGUGAAGAAGGACAGUUGCUGGCAAGAUUGAAGUGUUCAGUACCUGGAUCCCACUUGGUAGAAACUGAAAUCCAGCUCUAGCAAGUUGUCAUCUGACCUCCACAUGUAUGUAUGCUCCACACACACAGAGAAACACACACACACACACACACUCACACACACACACUCACACACACAGAGCAAAUACGUGAGUAAGUGAGACUUACAAUAAAAAAGUAGCAGCCAGAUGGAAAGCAGUGGCUGGGUUCUCCAUCUGCUGGAGUGUUUGUCUAACUGUCCACACCCUGGCCUUCAAGCCCCCGCUACCCCCAAGCAAAG
rnacentral:lncRNA from 1 species